AUGAACGCUGGCGGCGUGCUUAACACAUGCAAGUCGAACGAAGCACCUGAUUUGAUUUUCUUCGGAGAUGAAGAUCUUGUGACUGAGUGGCGGACGGGUGAGUAACGCGUGGGCAACCUGCCUUGUACAGGGGGAUAACAGUUAGAAAUGACUGCUAAUACCGCAUAAGACCACAGCACCACAUGGUGCAGGGGUAAAAACUGAGGUGGUACAAGAUGGGCCCGCGUCUGAUUAGCUGGUUGGUGAGGUAACGGCUCACCAAGGCGACGAUCAGUAGCCGACCUGAGAGGGUGACCGGCCACAUUGGGACUGAGACACGGCCCAAACUCCUACGGGAGGCAGCAGUGGGGAAUAUUGCACAAUGGGGGAAACCCUGAUGCAGCGACGCCGCGUGAGUGAUGAAGUAUUUCGGUAUGUAAAGCUCUAUCAGCAGGGAAGAAAAUGACGGUACCUGACUAAGAAGCCCCGGCUAACUACGUGCCAGCAGCCGCGGUAAUACGUAGGGGGCAAGCGUUAUCCGGAUUUACUGGGUGUAAAGGGAGCGUAGACGGAACAGCAAGUCUGAUGUGAAAACCCGGGGCUCAACCCCGGGACUGCAUUGGAAACUGUUGAUCUAGAGUGUCGGAGAGGUAAGUGGAAUUCCUAGUGUAGCGGUGAAAUGCGUAGAUAUUAGGAGGAACACCAGUGGCGAAGGCGGCUUACUGGACGAUGACUGACGUUGAGGCUCGAAAGCGUGGGGAGCAAACAGGAUUAGAUACCCUGGUAGUCCACGCCGUAAACGAUGACUACUAGGUGUCGGGUGGCAAAGCCAUUCGGUGCCGCAGCAAACGCAAUAAGUAGUCCACCUGGGGAGUACGUUCGCAAGAAUGAAACUCAAAGGAAUUGACGGGGGCCCGCACAAGCAGUGGAGUAUGUGGUUUAAUUCGACGCAACGCGAAGAACCUUACCAAGGCUUGACAUAUACAGGAAUAACUAAGAAAUUAGUUAGCUCUUCGGAGUCUGUAUACAGGUGGUGCAUGGUUGUCGUCAGCUCGUGUCGUGAGAUGUUGGGUUAAGUCCCGCAACGAGCGCAACCCUUAUCUUUAGUAGCCAGCAAUUAGGAUGGGCACUCUAGAGAGACUGCCAGGGAUAACCUGGAGGAAGGUGGGGAUGACGUCAAAUCAUCAUGCCCCUUAUGGGCAGGGCUACACACGUGCUACAAUGGCGUAAACAAAGGGAAGCAGAGUCGUGAGGCCGAGCAAAUCUCAAAAAUAACGUCUCAGUUCGGAUUGUAGUCUGCAACUCGACUACAUGAAGCUGGAAUCGCUAGUAAUCGCGAAUCAGAAUGUCGCGGUGAAUACGUUCCCGGGUCUUGUACACACCGCCCGUCACACCAUGGGAGUUGGUAACGCCCGAAGUCAGUGACCCAACCGUAAGGAGGGAGCUGCCGAAGGUGGGACCGAUAACUGGGGUG
rnacentral:rRNA from 1 species